rnacentral:rRNA from 1 species
CCUACGGGGGGCAGCAGUGGGGAAUAUUGCACAAUGGGCGCAAGCCUGAUGCAGCCAUGCCGCGUGUGUGAAGAAGGCCUUCGGGUUGUAAAGCACUUUCAGCGGGGAGGAAGGCGUUAAGGUUAAUAACCUUGGCGAUUGACGUUACCCGCAGAAGAAGCACCGGCUAACUCCGUGCCAGCAGCCGCGGUAAUACGGAGGGUGCAAGCGUUAAUCGGAAUUACUGGGCGUAAAGCGCACGCAGGCGGUCUGUCAAGUCGGAUGUGAAAUCCCCGGGCUCAACCUGGGAACUGCAUUCGAAACUGGCAGGCUAGAGUCUUGUAGAGGGGGGUAGAAUUCCAGGUGUAGCGGUGAAAUGCGUAGAGAUCUGGAGGAAUACCGGUGGCGAAGGCGGCCCCCUGGACAAAGACUGACGCUGAGGCGCGAAAGCGUGGGGAGCAAACAGGAUUAGAUACCCGAGUAGUC